UACAGAGGGGGCAAGCGUUGUCCGGACUUACUGGGCGUAAAGCGCAUGCAGGUGGCUGUGCAAGUAUGCUGUGAAAGCCUCGUGCUUAACACGGGGAGGCCAGUAUAGACUGCACGGCUCGAGGACUGCAGAGGGUAGGGGAAUUGCUGGUGUAGUGGUGAAAUGCGUAGAGAUCGGGAGGAAUACCUGUGGCGAAGGCGGCCUACUGGGCCGGAACUGACGCUGAGACGCGAAGGCGUGGGGAGCAAACGGG
rnacentral:rRNA from 1 species